ACGGGGGGGGGACGCGGCACCGCGGGGCUGGUGGCAUCCCUGGGGGGGGCACAGGGUGGCAGGAGGGGGUCUGUGCGUGAUGCCACCCCGAGCGCCUGCAGGGACGGCGCUGGGUACAACAGGAGUCCCCUUCCCCAGGCACCCCCAGCACCCCCCUGGGGGGGCAGGGGGACGUCAGCCUGGUGCUGUCCCAGGGGAGGUGGCCGCGGGCGGCCCAGCCCCAGGGCAGGAGCAGAGCAGCCUGCGGGCGCACGGGCACCUCGCGGCCCGCUCGUGCCAGCAGCUCUUGGCACGCGGGGAGCGCGUUCCUGGCAGCCCGGCCCUGUGCCAGCUGGUAUUUAUCCCCUUCCCGAAAUCCCUCCUGCUGCGGGGGGGAUGCCCGGCUGCGCGGGGGGGGACCCGCUCCCCGCUGCUCACUCUGCGGCGCCACGCUGCCGCGGGGAGGGGGGGGGACCCCUCGUCCCACCCCAAAAAUGCCCGCGGGUCCCAGGGGUGCUCUGGGGGCGCCGCGGUUGGCAGCGGGGACGCCGCCACGGUGGCACCUCUGCCCCGAGCACGUGCCCGGCCCCAAACCGACGGGGGACGGAUGCUGCGGGGAGGGGGGCACAACACCCCCACCCCAAAACCUGGGCAUCCCAAAGCUGCCGGAGCCGGGAGAGCCCGCGGGUUGCCCGGGCAACCGCAGGCAGGAUGGGGGGGGUGCAGGGUGAAAGUUGCCAUGGAGACCGAGAGCAGCAUCGCCACGGUUACGGCACCCAUCCGUCCCGCACCCCGGGGUGCUGGGGGCACCCUGCCCUGAGGCGGCGGGGGCAGCUCCCGGCCCCGUGUUGGCGGCGCGAAGGAAGACGCGAGGCUGGGCUCGGCUCCUCGGCUUUAUCAGCGAUCGGCCGCGGGGCCGGGCACCGGGGGGGGUGCGUGGGGCUCGGCGGGUGCUGGGGGCACGGGCAGGGUGCCCCCGUCCCCCCCCUCCUGGGUGCCAGAGCAGCUGGUGAAGGGGGUG
rnacentral:lncRNA from 1 species